rnacentral:rRNA from 1 species
AAUACAUGCAAGUCGAACGAGAAGCCUUGGAUUUAUCUAAGGUGGAGAGUGGCGCACGGGUGAGUAACACAUGGCUGACCUGCCCCUCAGAGGGGGACAACCGGUGGAAACGCCGGCUAAUACCCCAUGCUUGCGUCCGGGUUAGAGGCCGGAUGCAGAAAGGCCGAGGCGCUGAGGGAGGGGGCUGUGGACCAUCAGCUAGUUGGUAGGGUAACGGCCUACCAAGGCGAGGACGGAUAGGGGGCCUGAGAGGGUGACCCCCCACACGGGCACUGAGACACGGGCCCGACUCCUACGGGAGGCAGCAGUAAGGGAUAUUGCGACAAUGGGCGAAAGCCUGACGCAGCAACGCCGCGUGGAGGAUGAAGGCCUUCGGGUUGUAAACUCCUUUUCUGUGGGAAGAGGAAGGACGGUACCACAGGAAGAAGUCUCGGCUAACUACGUGCCAGCAGCCGCGGUAAAACGUAGGAGGCGAGCGUUAUCCGGAUUUACUGGGUGUAAAGCGCGUGCAGGCGGUCUGGUAAGUCGAGCGUGAAAGCUCCCGGCUCAACCGGGAGAGGACGUGCGAAACUGCGAGGCUAGAGACAGGUAGAGGCGUACGGAAUUCCGGGUGUAGUGGUGAAAUGCGUAGAUAUCCGGAGGAACACCAGUGGCGAAGGCGGUACGCUGGGCCUGGUCUGACGCUAAGACGCGAAAGCAUGGGGAGCGAACGGGAUUAGAAACCCCGGUAGUCCAUGCCGUAAACGAUGCUAACUAGGUGUUGCGGGUAACAGACCGGCAGUGCCGGAGUUAACGCGAUAAGUUAGCCACCUGGGG